rnacentral:snRNA from 1 species
AUACUCUGGUUUCUCUUCAGAUCGCAUAAAUCUUUCGCCUUUUACUAAAGAUUGGUGUGAUUGUGCUUCCAAACCUAACUGAGUCAUCAAUGCAUUGGUUGGCCUCUGCAUUUUCAAUAGGGA